UUGCAGCCCGCGGAAGAGAUCGAAGCGGAAAUCCUGGGGCGCCUUGCGGCCCAGAUUGGAGCGAAGAGCUCGGUUCUCG
rnacentral:sRNA from 1 species